AUGAAAGCCUUAUUCUGGAACAUCGUGGGUUUUGGUGCUAGGGGGCGCCGAGAACAGAUUAGAGAUCUCGUUCAUGGGGAUAAUAUUGAUAUUGUUGGGCUAGUUGAAACCUUUAAAGACUCCUUCUCUCGCAAUGAACUUUCUGUGAUUGCGGGCAUGUAUAGAUUUGAUUGGCACGUGCUUCCUUCUUCGGGACAUUCGGGAGGGAUCUUUAUUGGUUCCAAAAGGAAUGUCUUUGAUUUCGUGGCUUUUGAUCAUGGUAUAUUUUGGGCAAGCAUGGUAGUUUGUCACAAAGCUCUUAACACUCUGUGGGAAUUUAUAGUGGUCUAUGGCCCUGCUGAUCAUCCGCUGACCUCCAUGUUCCUGGAUGAGCUCUCUACUAAGAGCGAGGCCUGCAAUAUCCCGAUAGUUAUCGGUUGUGACUUUAACCUUCUUCGCACCCUCUCGGACAAGAGCAAUGCCAAAUUUUCCUGGCCAUUGGCUAAUGCUUUCAACGACUUUAUUAGCACCUGUGUUAUCCGCGAGCUUCCUAGGGUUGGGGCCCACUUUACCUGGUCAAAUCAUCAGGCCAUCCCGAUUAGAUAUGUGUUAGACUGA
rnacentral:rRNA from 1 species